GACAGACUCUGUGCUGUUAAUGAAUUUAUUUGUUAGAUGGCAUUAUUGCCACUCAAAGCAAGCUGCAGAAUCCGUGGAGUAUUUGCCAUUUGCAUUGUUUUCCCUUUGCAUUUCAAGCUUGGCUGGGGCAGCGCAGGUGCUGGUGGCCUCGUGAUGCUGGAAAGCCAUGUUCAUCCUCCUUGGUCUUUGUGGCUCAGCUGGUGCUGUGUGGGUAAUGCCUCACAUCUGCUGUGUGCACAGCACAACAUGGUCCUGGGAACCUGAAAGACGUGGAAGAAAACCAAGUCCUGUCCUUCAUGCAGCUUCUGCCACAAGGAGGCUGUGUUGGGUUACUCCUUGCCACAUACCACUGCGAGAGGGUGUGUUAUUUAAAGAACCAGUGCUUAGCAAACCUCACUCCCUCACCCCGUUGGAUAACUGUGCUAUAAGCACGAGUGGCCUUGCUUUUCUUUCCAAUGGCUGCGUUUUUAAAGGCACCCAGAUUAGAAACCAAUUUGCAGGUAAGGGAAGCAUCGCCCCUGGGGUUUUCUGCUGGCUCAGUCGCAGCAUGGCAGCGGGCAUGAGCUGCUGUGCAUCUGGAUACGGGAGUUUGGAUCUAUGCCACUGCUUUGGGGCAGGUUGGGAUUCCAUGCAAGCCUUUGGGCCUGCAAAGAGCAAGGCUUUUGGAGAAGCUCCCUCUGCCUCAAUGCAAAAAGCUCCGGAGCCACGCUGCCCCUUCCCACCAUCCCACAUCAGCCAAAGCUUCCUUCUAAGCUGCAAAUGAAUUAUUGAUGCAAUUAUUCAUCCUCAUUUAAACAUCUAUUUAGUGGCAUUUAAAUAACAGUGCUCAGAAUAUGUCAACAGUUUACACAAUAAUUUGGAUUCUGAUCUUUAUACCUCUGUUUUCUCCCACACAAAUAAUUGGAACUCAUCCAUUCUAAGUGACAAUUGCAGAUAAGCAUCGCCCUUUUUUUUUUCCUGUUGCACAUGUGCAUUAUCUAAAUAUAUUAAAACACUCCAUUUUAAAUUCAUUUGAAUGAUUAAUCAGUUACUCGGCUGUAA
ensembl:lncRNA